GACUGUGCAAAAUGCCUUUUAUCCACAACUCUAAGUCUACCAGAUCCUACAGUAAUCCAUCUGCCUUUCCUAGUUUGUCUCUGCGGCAGUGGCUUUGCAGCAGUUCCAGUCUGAGUUUGUUCACCAGAUAAUUUACAAAUCUCAGACUUCAAAAAUACAAUCUCCUGCCGCAAGAUAGAGAACUGUCUACAGAUUAGACAACAACCAAAC